GAGGGUGUAGCUCAGUGGUAGAGCGCGUGCUCAGCAUGCACGAGGUCCUGGGUUCGAUCCCCAGCACCUCCA
rnacentral:tRNA from 1 species